rnacentral:lncRNA from 1 species
CACUGGAUCUCACAUACCCCUUAUCCAUCAGAUCCUGAAGCUGCGCCUUUAACUCUCUCAGCUCUGCCGGUGCCAUCCGGUAAGGUACCUUUGAGAUUGGUGCAGUUCCAGGAACUACAUCAAUCACGAACUCAAUCUCCCUCUCCGGCGGCAUCGUAGUCAACUCAGGGGGAAACACAUCCAGAAACUCGCGGACUACUGGGAUAUCCUCGAGUCUCGGCGCCACCGUAGGUACCUCUACAACAGUCGCCAGAAAGGCAACACAUCCUCUACUCAUCAGCUGUCGAGCCCUCGCCGAAGAUAUCCAAGUGGCAAACAGUGCAUUCCUGCAGCCUCUAAAAGUAAAUUCCUCCUGGCCUGG